UUAUUUUAUCAAUCGUGAAAACAGCAACAGAUGCGGCUGGUGCUCGAUCUAGUGCACCAAUAUAAAUAUCUUCUAUCACAAACCGAUAUGCUUAAUUGCCACUAUAAAGCAACUCUUGCUCAGCUGCACUAACAAUUUAUUGAUAUUCAAGUUGAUAUUAUUAUUUAUAUAUUAUAUUAUUGUUACUCUAAUUUUGUUUUACUAAGAUCGUGUAGUAUAAUUAUUUUCAAGAUUUUCAAUAUGAAGACAACACUUUAUUUUAUUCUUUUAUGCCUUAUUGCUCUGGCAUUGGUAAUCAACCUGACCAAUGGACAAUUCGAUCCGUGCAUCAUAUGUGACGGAGUCAUUUGUCCGGAUGGAAAGCCCUCUCGCUGCGUGUACGAAGCCUGCACAUGCAGUCGCACUUAAGCUUAUAAUAUGGCACAAAAGACAAACUGACCGGAAGCAGUUUCUUGUACAUACUACAGAUAUUCGACGCUUGCUUGCAGUUAUGAGAUGUUCAUUGGCAUAUAUAAAUGUCUCAUUGAGAACGGUUUUCAUUAAUGACACUGUUAAUAAACGCAUCCCCAUACCUGUAUGAAUGAUUGAUGUGUGCAAACUACCGAGACCAUUUUGGUUUUUAUUACUAUUUGUGUGCUGAUAUCUUGCGUCCUUAAUAAUUGUAAUAAGCGUGAUUGUAAAUCAUCGUUGUAUACGCCAAGCUGGUCGCGAGAAGCGGUACACUGAUUGUUCAACAGUUUAAUUGUCGUCAAUAAAAUCACAUGCUUUG